UACGUAGGGUGCAAGCGUUGUCCGGAAUUAUUGGGCGUAAAGGGCUCGUAGGCGGUCCAUCGCGUCGGGAGUGAAAAGCUGGGGCUCAACCCCAGUCCUGCUUCCGAUACGGGUGGACUAGAGGUAUGCAGGGGAGAACGGAAUUCCUGGUGUAGCGGUGAAAUGCGUAGAUACCUGGAGGAACACCGGUGGCGAAGGCGACAUCCUGGACCGGUAUUGACGCUGAGGCGCGAAAGCCAGGGGAGCAAACGGG
rnacentral:rRNA from 1 species